rnacentral:lncRNA from 1 species
UGUGUAUCCUCUGAGCAUUUCCUCUCUCUUGUUUGAAGCAGAGAGCCACAUGUCCAUACUGGGCUUCCUAGCUUUGGGUGGAGGACGAAACAGAAGCUCUUUGAAGAUAACUUCCUUCCUGAGUUUUUGAUAUCCAGAAACCUAAGCUCAAGAGGGUAUUAUGUUUUGGAGGUGAUUGAAUUUUACUCGCUCUCUGAGAGAGUCUGAGAUAAGGAUAAUUGAACCAGUAAUUAAAGAAAGAGAUAAAAGAUGGAGAUCAAGGAAGAGGAAAAACAAAGAUCAAGGAUGAAAUCUACAGAUAAAACAGGUGAAAAGUGAAGCCCCCUAAAGUAAUAAAGAGAGAGCAUCUUGGAGGGGAAGAGAUGCUAACAGAAACACCUCUGCCAUAAUAUAGCUCAUAUUCCAUGUCUCCCAAUUCUUGGAAUGUUUUAUUCCAUAAUAUUUUCCAAGGGCCCAGACCUGUGGUUGGAACAAUAGAUGCUCAGCAAAUGCUUAUUGAAGGAAUGACUCCAGUUCCAGGAAUAAACCAACCCAUAUAUGAAAGAGAAACAGUGCUAUUCCUGAGUGCACAUCAGAGUAUGGGCAUGUUGAAUCAAAACAAAAGAUCUCUUUUUAAGUUUUGGCUCAGUCCUCUGUUCAUUUCCAGGUGCCCCUGGAACUCACACGCGCUGCAGAUCCAGGCAUGGACAGGAUACAUGAUCUCCACACACAGAUUUUCCAGGAUGGUCCCAAGAGCGAAUAAGUUGGUUUGGGAAGUGUGGUCACAGUGGCCUUGCGCCAUACUGUCAAAAGGCACGGGUCCUCCUCUCAGGAAGCCUGUGCUUUAGUGACUGAAGCUGCUUUGUUUUAUGACUUGGUGCUUUCACAGCCAAUGCACGUGGCCACCACAGAGCUCCUCUUGGUCUCAUGUCUGGUGGGAGGGAGAGUGCGCUGCAGAACCACUUGGGAGAAGUGGAGCAUCCUUACUCUCAGUUCCAAACCCUGCUCGGCGCAGACGGGGUUCCGGACCAAGAUCCGCAUUUGUCCUUGACUGGGUAACUGUGAACUGAGCAACCACAAAGUCGGUGGGGGCAAGUGGAGGAAGAGAAGUUCCAAAGAGACGACAGAAGAACUUGCAGGGGUGAGGCAGGAGAAAAGAUGAGCAGAGGAGAAAAGAUAGCCUUGCAGAGUGUUGCAAGAUAACUGACACUUUGAAUCACUGCGAACGCUCUACCUUUAUUGAGGAAUUGGACCAUCUUUGAAGCCACUGCUUUGCUUAUUGUGAUAAUACAUGGUUAAAUAAAUCGAUAGGGCAGGCUUUCCCCACAUUGCCAAGAGGUGGAAACAGGAUCAGAGGCAUUUGUGGACUUUCCUCAGGCACUGAAACUGGGAGGGAGAUAGAUCCAAGUACGUGAGGAGAAUAUCUGGCCAACAGUCAAAUUCAUGGCGGAGGCCAUGACUGUUACUGAGGGAGAGCAAGUUUGGCAAACAUUGCAGCCUGUAAGCCCUGUGGGAGACUCACGAUGCCCAAGAGCAUAGCCAGGGUCCGGAGAAGGCUUGCAUGAAAGAAACCAGUUCUUUGCAUAGCCGUGUCUCACUUUUCUUCGAGCAGCACCUGAUGAUUAUCCCCGGGGCUUGGAUUUUACGUCAAAUUCUCCUUAUGCUGAAGUCAAGUCUGUUCAUUCAUAGCAUCCUCCAUCACU